rnacentral:rRNA from 1 species
UACGAAGGGGGCUAGCGUUGCUCGGAAUCACUGGGCGUAAAGCGCACGUAGGCGGAUCUUUAAGUCAGGGGUGAAAUCCUGGAGCUCAACUCCAGAACUGCCUUUGAUACUGGGGAUCUCGAGUCCGGAAGAGGUGAGUGGAACUCCGAGUGUAGAGGUGAAAUUCGUAGAUAUUCGCAAGAACACCAGUGGCGAAGGCGGACUCACUGGCCCGGUACUGACGCUGAGGUGCGAAAGCGUGGGGAGCAAACAG